rnacentral:lncRNA from 1 species
CGUAAUAAUAUUCAUUUAAACUUUUUAAUUGUGGAAUACAAUUUUUUAUGGUGGAAAAUAAAUAUAUGAAUAAAAGGAAAAUUAUAACACAGAGUUUCAUCAAUUCUCGACUUAAUUAAUUUUUUGUAUCUUCAUGGUCGAAAAUUUUCGUUUCUAUGCUACAAACAUAAAGACACUUGGGUGUGGGCAACGCCAAAGGGGUCGUUAUUGAAUGUUAUAACGGCGCAAACACCGCCCCACCUCCCCAUUAUUGCACGUUAUUAGUUUCCACGUUAUAUUUCGUUACCACCACCACGACCUUUAACGCCGUUUUCUCUUUUUUCUUAAAACACGUGAGUGGGCUCCGACCAGUCUAAACACUAUUGUGCUAUAGUGGGUAAGCUAGUACCCCAACAUUAAUUACAAUGAUCAAAAGCAAACAAAAUCCAUCAAAGUAUUUACAACAGUAACCUUUGAGGCUGAUGUAAAGAUAAUAUUUGUUAUUCAAUCAAAUACACUCCAAAAAAAUUCUCAUUGCCAUUAAAAAACAGUAUAUGGUUGAACAAUUGAAGUUAUACAAUAUUUGCUAUUUGAAACUACAUAUAUGCAAAACGAAAUACCCACUAAAUGUUGCGAUAUACUUAAAACGCAGCCAGUGUCCAGCUCGAUCUCACAUAAAUGCAGCUUCAAUUGUUUAGAACAUAGUCAAAGAAAAACAUCAAAAAACAUGCUGUAAAUGUCCCUGAACGUUUAAAACUCAAAAAAGGCAUGUAUUUAGUGGUUCACAAUCCCCCUCCCAAACAUCGUAUUUUUCAAAUUCAGAAGCUAAUCACUGAGCUAACACUGAAACUCAUACAAACAUAUCAAUAGAUAAUCACAUAUCAUUAACCAAAACACAAGAUAGUUAAUCGGUAUAAUGGUCAAGAAUACAUAAAAGAAGACACGCAAACACAUCGCAAAAUAUAUAUAUNNNNNNNNNNNNNNNNNNNNNNNAUAUAUAUAUUGAAUUAUCUCUUUCAUGGCAUCAUUUUUUCUAACGAAUAAAACAAAACGUUUGUGUACAAACAUAUUAACAAAAUCGGAUGUGUCAGAACCUUAGACAUAGAUCUACAUCCACUAACAUAAAAUUAAUAAAUAUGGUGAAUUAGAAAGAGGCAGUGAUGUAGAAAAAGAAUAAAGGCGGUUUUAGAUCACGAUCCAUAUCUAUAACCUUAAAAAGAAAAAUCAAUGACGGUUAAUCCACAUAAACCUUCACAUCAUCGAACCUUCAUCUUGUACAAAGAGCAUAAAACAAUCAUUAAAAUAAAAAACAAAAUCGAACAGAAAGUAAGUAAGAAUCGCUUAUCAACUACAAAACGCAGACUAAAAAAUCAAACAUAAGCUCAUAUAUUGGGAUUUUAGACGGAACAUGCCUACGUUUUGUAAACAUAUCUCAGAGAGAAAGAAUAUCGCCUGCUCCUGGAAGUCGGUUGUUGUGGUUGUGUUUUUGGUAGAGAAGUCGGUGUGAGAUGGUUUAGAGCUAGGAGAGACCACAUAAAAAUAGAAGGGAAUGUUGGAGGUGACGGUAGAAGGUGAGUAUGUGCGAUGGGAGAUUUUAGGGUUUUUUGUGGAAUUUAUUCUUAAACUCUAACGAAUGAGGGGAGUGUGUGCGAUGGGAGUAUCUGAGUGGAGAGAAUAGGCAAUCCGUUGAUAUAUUUUAUUGAUUUUCAUCCGUUGGAUCAAACAAAAGUCGAG